AUGCGGACAGGGAGGGGCACAGGAGCAUGCAGAUUUCUGCCUGUGUCUGUUGGCUCCCAGCAGGAGUGCUCCGGGCUGGGCCUGGGAGGCAGAGGGCCUGGCUGGGCCCUCGGGGAGCCUUCCUGUCCCUGGGACACUCACACUGUUGGAUCGCAGGGACAGGCGGCCUUCGCAGCGGGCGCAGAACUUGGUGUGACAGUAGGAACACUGGUGGCCGCACCCAUCGGCAAACUUUGUCCUGCGACAAAUUCCACAAGUUGGAGCCUCAUCUUUGUGCUCUCCCUGGCAGCGGGCUUCGCCAUGUCCCUGACAACACACUUGAGCAUGGCUUCUUCCUUCUCCUCCUCCUCCUUCCGCCGGUCCAUCACUGCCAGGAUGAUGUUCCUCUCCUCCUCGGUCAGGUGGCUCAGGUCUAUGGAGACCCCACACGUGGGGGCAUAUGGUCUCAGGGUCCUCCUGGACUUUGCGUUUGGGGCCCAGAAAGACAGUGGCUUCAGAUCAUGGGAUGGUAAAUGGUUCCUGGAUUUUCCUGGCUCAGUGCAUGGGUCACCUCUGGCGGGGAUUGGCUCCUCUCUCUCUUUCUUGGCUGACAAGAGACCUGGGAUCAGUGGAACAGGUUAGAAGACGCAGAAACAACUCUAGACAUACUUAGCCACGUCAUCUUUGACAAAGGAACCAACCAACUUCACUGGAGGAAAGAUAGCCUCUUUAAUAAAUGGUGGUGGAAAAACUGGAUUUCAACCUGCCAAAGAUUAAAACUAGACCCAUAUCUAUCACCAUGCACUAAACUAAGAUCAAAGUGGAUUAAAGAUCUAAAUAUUAAAACAGAAACACUAAACUUGCUGGAAGAUAAGUAAAGUAGAACUCUUGAAGACAUGGCCAUAGGAAAAGACUGAACAAAACCUCAGUAAUAUGGGAACUAGCACAAAGAAUCAACAACUGGGAUCUCAUCUUAUUACAAAACUUCUGCACUUUAAAAGAAACCACCAACAGAGCUAAGAGACAACUCACAGGGUGGGAAAAAAUUUUCAGCAGCUGUACCUCAGACAAAGGACUGCUAUCUAGAAUAUAUAACCAACUGAAAAAAAUCAGAGCCCCUGAAUUCAAAGACCCAAUUCAAAAAUGGGCAUCUGAAAUGAACAGACAUUUCUCAGACAAAGAAGUAAAAGCAGCAAAUAAAUAUAUGAAAAAUGUUCAACAUCACUUGUCAUUCGAGAGAUGCAGAUGAAAACAACACUGAGAUUCCACCUCACCCCACAAAGAAUGGCUGCUAUCAAGAAAUCAACCAAUAACAAAUGCUGGUAGGGGUGUGGGGAGAAAUGAACCCUUCUCCAUUGCUGGUGGGAGUGAAGGCUGGUGCAACCACUGUGGUAAUCAGCAUGGAGAUUCCUCAAAGAACUAGUACUAGAGGUCUGAUUUGACCCAGCUAUUCCCUUGCUGGGUAUCUUCCCCAAAGAAUUAAAAGAAUCAUACCACAGAGAUAUAUGUACACCUAUGUUUAUAGCGGCACAGUUUGUAAUAGCUAAAGCUUGGAAACAGCCCAAGUGCCCAUCAACUGGAGACUGGAUAAAGAAGAUGUGGAUUUUUAUAAAAUGGUGUACUACUCAGCCAUAAAGAAUGAGAAACUAGAGUCAUUUAUAGCUAAGUGGAUGCACAUUGAGACCAUACUCUUUAAGUGAAGUAAAUAGGACACACGUGUAAAUAUCGAAUAGUUUCUCUAGUGUGAGAAACUGAAAGUGUAAGGAAGGGUUAAAAUGAUUAAAAUGAAUAUUUGAUAAUUUGAAAUAGGAAGAAAGGUCCAAAGGGUAGGGGUGAUGGGAGGGGAAGGGGAAAGGAAAGAAGGCAAAGGAAAAAUUAUGAGAAAAGAAAAAAAAAGGAAACCAAGUCUAUGAAAAUAGGGAAGGGUGCAGGGUUGUGGGGCACACAGGUAAUGGGGAAAAAUAAGAACGAAGAUAUGUCAUGUACAGGUACGAACACCCAAUGAUAAAUGUAGAUGUACUGUAUACCUAAAAUGUACCAAUAAAAUAAAAUAAAAUACUGUUCUUUGAGAUGAGACCCCCAGAGUGCCUUGCUCAAGAAGGGCCACAUAGAAAUUUGGCCCCUUGGGGUUAAUUUUACCAUGCUCUGCCAUUCAGUACUCUGAG
rnacentral:lncRNA from 1 species